CACAGUGACACCCAGAAGCAUUUGUUGGUGGGGCAGCUGAGCUCGUGAGGAUGUGGCGGGGCCCGUGGCCUGCGGUGCAGCAGCCUGGCAUUACUGCCCACACUCACGCUUCAAGUGUCCCAUGUCGGGCAGGUGUGGGGACCAGGUGCUCUGUAAGUAGCACUGGCUGCCAGGAUUCAGUGUCCACGGCUCGUCUCCAGAAAGCACAUGGGACAAAACGGAGGCCAGGCUCAGCGUGAGGCUGCGGCACUGUGCAGGAGCAGCUCUCACUUUGAGUCGGAGGGAAAGGAGUUUGCUGGGUCUGAGUCCAGAAGUUACGUGGUGAUGAGACGCUGCAAGGCCAGGGGCAUCACCUGCUUCACGCUUCAAUCAGCUGCUGAGCUUUGAGGAAGGCGCGGCCCUGCCGGGGCCUCUGGCUCGGCAAGUCAGGACAGGACCCUGCGGCCUGGUAGUUCCAAGGCGGCAGCGCAGAGAUGCCCCGAGCUGGUGGAGGUGCACCCCUACCAGAUGCUCGCGACAGUCGGAGCCACCUCACCUCUUUCUGUCUCAGACUCAGAAUCCAGAGAACAAGGGUGUGGACAGAACCAUCCCCGGAGCUUUCUGUUCAGUGCUGAUUCCCCAUCUGAGAACUCUCCUUCCCUAGGAGCGACUCCCCAGGCAGCUCCCCAUUCCCACCAUCUGCUGCUCUCCAAACUCUGGUCACACUCUGGCCAAAAACCCCACGAGAAAGGGAUCAUCUCCAUUUUGUAGACAAGAGGAACGGAGAACAGAGAGGCCACAUAAUAAGCUCAAGGCCACACAGCAGGUAAAAGGUGGGCUGAGAUGAAAGGGCAUGCUUCAUGUCUCCAAGGAAGGUGCAGACAGCGCCCGAGGACCCUCCUCCCAGGGGCAGAGGAAGACCACCUGCCGGCAGGAAGCGCUCAUGGAAACCCAUGAAAGUCUUGGACCAAGUCGGGGAGCAGAGCACAGGUGCAUCAGCAUGGCCUCGCCGUCCCUCCCGCAGUGCUCACAGAGGAGGAGGGGAAAUGGCUGGAUGUGGACACUGACAUCUGGGAUUGAGAGGAAGAGAAUCCCCUGCAUGUGACAAGUGGUUUACACACAGGGAGGUGGAGAGUCGGACCCAAGCGCCACGACUUUAGAACAGGGGCACUCUUGCUCGUGUGAGAUGGUGUGGAGCCAGCCUGGGACAAGGAUGCUAGUGCAGGGGGGGCAGUGCCAGUCACCAGAAGAGGCCGCAGGAGGAGGCUGAGGGCCGUGGCUGCCUCCGGGCCUCUCUCUGUAGCACUCAUUCCUUCCCUAGCUCGUGUGGAACGCCCUGGUGCUGCCCUGCCCUGGCCUGGCCUGAGGAGAGGAGGGAGGGCCCCAGGAGGCCACGCCAGCCCAGGGUGCAGGAACGGCGGGCUUCUCUGGGGUGUCAGCUUUCCUACCUGAUUUGGGAUGCGUCUGCCACUUGUUGCCAUGGCAACACCCAGACCCUCAGUGUCUGCCUCUGACUCGCCCCCCGCCCCGCCCAUCAGCCGGCUUCUUGGGCAGCUCCCCAGCCCCUUCACCCUGGGUGGCACUCUGGGUGCCACCCAGAGGAGAAGCAGAAAGAGGGAUUUUAUGGCAUACUCCAUUCCUUCCACCCCCUUAGUUGGCACCCCAAAUAAAUGAGCCUAAUUCCCCACAAAGAAGCCUGGGAAAUGUCAUCUCCCUGUGUGCCUAGGCAGAGGCUUGAGUUCUGAGCACCAGGACCCUCACACACAGGAGCCGGAUGCAGACUCACAGAGACGUCUUAUGAUGGAAAUGGAAAUUUCAAGAUUUUUAAAGUAAAAAUGAAAGAUCUGAAAGAGACUGGUAGAAAUGAGCCUCUUGAGCCGGCUUCUGCAGACCCUGGGGAGGGGGUCGCUGCCCUGGUUAAUUCACCUUCGAGACCUUCCUGGGUGACAGUAGCCAGAGCUGGGCCAGCACCAGCCCUCAAGCCCACCCGAAGGCUGCCUCCCCCUGCCUCCCAGUCCCAAUCCCCGAUGGGCCUGCUGUCCUAGGUGCCCGCUGGGCAUCAAGCCUGGGACAUGGGCUUGUCCUGAGCUCUGCCGCCCCCACCUCCUCGUGUCCUGGCUCCCCGGGGUGCAGAUGGACCUGCUGUCUGUGCCCUGCUGCCCACGGGCCUCCUCUGUGCGGUCCCCACACGGCUCUCUUCCCCGAAGCUGCACAUGCUCUGCCCGCGGCUCUGCCUGCUGGGUCACUGGAGGGCCGAGCCCCACGGAGGCCUGUAGUCAG
rnacentral:lncRNA from 1 species